UACAAUGGCAGGUACAGAGGGGUGCUACCGGGUGACCGGAUGCCGAUCUCGAAAACCUGUCCCAGUUCGGACUGGAGUCUGCAACCCGACUCCACGAAGUUGGAUUCGCUAGUAAUCGCGCAUCAGCCAUGGCGCGGUGAAUACGUUCCCGGGCCUUGUACACACCGCCCGUCAAGCCAUGGGAGCCGGGGGCGCCUGAAGUCCGGGACCGCGAGGACCGGCCUAAGGCGAAACUGGUGACUGGGGCUAAGUCGUAACAAGGUAGC
rnacentral:rRNA from 1 species